GACGAACGCUGGCGGCGUGCUUAACACAUGCAAGUCGAACGGUGAAGCGCUAUCCUCUUUGGCGGGUGUGGAUGGGUGGCCAACGGGGGAGGAACACGAUAGGAACCUGCUCUCUUGUGGGGGAUAACCGCAUGAAAGUGAGGCUAAUACGGGAUAUGCUGGGCCGGUGGCAUCAUGGGUCUGGGGAAGAUUUUGCUUCGGUGGGGGAUGGGCUCGCGGUCUAUCAGCUUGUUGGUGGGGUGAUGGCCUACCAAGGCGGUGCGGGGUAGCUGGCCUGAGAGGGUCGGCGGUCACACUGCGACUGAGACACGGACACGACUACUACGGGAGGCAGCAGUGGAGAAUAGUGCACAAUGGGCGCAAGGCUGAUGCAGCGACGCGGCGGGAGGGAUGGAGGCCUGCGGGUUGUGAACCUCUUUCGCGAGUGAAGCGGGCCUGCCUCGUUUGUCGGUGGUUUGACGGUAGCUGGAGAAGAAGCGCCGGCUAACUACGUG
rnacentral:rRNA from 1 species